AGUUUCCAUAGGAACAAAUUGCGUAGAUGACAUCUUAAAAGCUCCAUUUUCACACUUUCCGGAUAUUGCGAAGAUUUCUACAGAACUGGGGACACCUGAAAAAAAAACCCGGGAGAUCUUUAAGCAGCUUUAUACGUGAAUCGCCAGUGAUAACUUGUAUACGGUGUACUAACAUGAUGUUUCUUAUAUGGACAAGUCUUAUACAAAUGGUUGUAUUCGGAGAGGAUGCUUCAUAUACAGGCAAACAUGAAAUGACACAUGGCUUGUUGUCUCAAUACUUCUUACCACACAUCUAUGAUACAGACGACGAUUGGCUCGCUGACAGAGCAGACGACACAGACGAUAUUUCGCAGCAAUUAUCUGAACAGUUUAAACUCCUCUUCAAAACGUAUUCUCAAGACGAGGCAGACCAAAUGGCAGAUAAAAAAGAAACUACGAUUGGCAUGCUUUCUAACAAUGUACAUGAUAGAAACAGUUAUGACACAGU